CUCUCUUCAAGGGCACUCCAAGAUUUAAUAAUGUUGUGGUCCAUGUUAAUGCCACUCAGAUGGACAUCCUCUCUUGCCAAAUUUCGACUCUCGCCUGUGCAUUUAUAGAAUUCCACUUGGGAGGUUGGACAAACUCCUCGCAAGUUGAGAAACUGCUCCGAAAGCUGGCACUUGGGAGAUGUUCCCUCCCCUCCAUCCUUACUGUCAGGACGCGAACACACGCUCCGUAUUUCAUACUGGACUAUUACUUCACACCUCCCCCCUCAGUCUACUUGCCUCUUCUCUUGCCUCCGAAUUACUACCAGAGUCCUCUAACACCCUGAUCAAAACCACCUUUUCCACUGCUCAGACUCAUUACAAUAAACAGACCCUUCAGGACAGAGGCUAA